rnacentral:ncRNA from 1 species
CAAUGUUCUCGUGGCGAUUUGUUCACCGGAUUGCGGGCCACGUUAAACAAACCGCUAAAGAGGUCGGAGCUUGCCCCCG